rnacentral:rRNA from 1 species
UACAGAGGUCUCAAGCGUUGUUCGGAUUCAUUGGGCGUAAAGGGUGCGUAGGUGGCGCGGUAAGUCGGGUGUGAAAUUUCGGAGCUUAACCUCCGAAACUGCAUUCGAUACUGCCGUGCUUGAGGACUGGAGAGGAGACUGGAAUUUACGGUGUAGCGGUGAAAUGCGUAGAUAUCGUAAGGAAGACCAGUGGCGAAGGCGGGUCUCUGGACAGUUCCUGACGCUGAGGCACGAAGGCCAGGGAGCAAACGGG